rnacentral:rRNA from 1 species
UACGAAGGGUGCAAGCGUUACUCGGAAUUACUGGGCGUAAAGCGUGCGUAGGUGGUUUGUUAAGUCUGUUGUGAAAGCCCCGGGCUCAACCUGGGAAUGGCAAUGGAUACUGGAUAGCUAGAGUGUGAUAGAGGAUGGUGGAAUUCCCGGUGUAGCGGUGAAAUGCGUAGAGAUCGGGAGGAACAUCAGUGGCGAAGGCGGCCAUCUGGAUCAACACUGACGCUGAGGCACGAAAGCGUGGGGAGCAAACAGG